rnacentral:rRNA from 1 species
UAAACGACUCUCGGCMACGGAAAUCUUGGCUCMCGCMUCGAUGAAAAACGUWGCAAAAUGCGAUACUUGGUGUGAAUWGCAGAAUCCCGUGAACCAUCCAGUUUUUGAACGCCAGUUGCGCCCGAAGCCAUUCGGUCGAAGGCCCCUCUGCCUGGGCGUCACGC